GAGCUGGGUUCAGAACGUCGUGAGACAGUUCGGUCCCUAUCCGUCGCGGGCGCAGGAAAUUUGAGAGGAGCUGUCCUUAGUACGAGAGGACCGGGAUGGACGCACCGCUGGUGUACCAGUUGUUCUGCCAAGGGCAUCGCUGGGUAGCUAUGUGCGGACGGGAUAAGUGCUGAAAGCAUCUAAGCAUGAAGCCCCCCUCAAGAUGAGAUUUCCCAUUCCGCAAGGAAGUAAGAUCCCUGAAAGAUGAUCAGGUUGAUAGGUCUGAGGUGGAAGCGUGGUGACACGUGGAGCUGACAGAUACUAAUAGAUCGAGGACUUAACCUU
rnacentral:rRNA from 1 species